GGAAGGGUGGCAGAGCGGUUGAUUGCACUCGCCUACUAAGCGAGCAAGUGUUAGAAAUAACGCUUCGUGGGUUCAAAUCCCACCUCUUUCG
rnacentral:tRNA from 3 species